UUCUUAUUGGAUGAUGACUGCCACGUGUCAUGUUCUGAUUGGAUGUCAACUUCAUGAAAGAUGAAAUACAUUGUUGUUUUCAUUGACCAAUCAGAAUAUGACACAUGGCAAUCAUCAUCU
rfam:Glycine max cultivar Williams 82 chromosome 14, whole genome shotgun sequence.